AGAUCUUCAAAGAACUAACAAAAUUAGAGUAUUUGGAUCUUUCAGAAAAUCGGCUCAUAUGUAACUGUGCUCUUGUAAGCCUGAAAGAUCUAUAUAUUGUUAUAAACCAUGGUGAUGGUAUUAUGUGUACUGAAACGACAGGAGUAGAUCUUGGGAAUGUUCCGGAUUAUAAUCUGUGUACAAACAAAGGUAAUUACUGCAGGCAAGAAAAUGUCACAAUUAUCAAUGGUCAUUCUAUCGAUUCUGUUUAUGGUGUCAGCGUCAUUAGAUGUGCAUUCAUGUGUGAUGCUAAACAAGAGUGUAAUGCGUUUCAACACUUUAAUUAUCUGCAACGGGUCUGCAAUCUGUGGAGCAUCGGGGAUAAAACUUCAUGGUUAACGAAUGUUACUCGAUAUGUAGAUAUUUACGAACGAUGCUA